rnacentral:rRNA from 1 species
AAAUGAAUAGACGGGCACCCGCACAAGCGGUGGAGCAUGCUGUUUAAUUCGAAGAUACGCGAAGAACCUUACCUAGACUUGACAUGCCGAUGACCGAUUUAGAAAUAAAUCUUUCCCUUCGGGGACAUUGGACACAGGUGGUGCAUGGUUGUCGUCAGCUCGUGUCGUGAGAUGUUUGGUUAAGUCCAAUAACGAGCGCAACCCCUAUCUUUAGUUGCUAACAUUAAGUUGAGAACCCUAAAGAUACUGUCGGUAAUAAAUCGAAGGAAGGUGGGGAUGAUGUCAAAUCAUCAUGCCCCUUACGUCUAGGGCAACAGGCGUGCUACAAUGGCCGGUAUAGAAAGAUGCAAGAUCGUGAGAUGGAGCAAAUCUAUAAAAGCCGGUCUCAGUUCGGAUUGGAGUCUGCAACUCGACUCCAUGAAGUUGGAAUCGCUAGUAAUCCCGAAUCAGAAUGUCGGGGUGAAUACGUUCUCGGGUGUUGUACACACCGCCCGU